rnacentral:rRNA from 1 species
CGGGAGUGAGUAAUGUCUGGGAAACUGCCUGAUGGAGGGGGAUAACUACUGGAAACGGUAGCUAAUACCGCAUAACGUCGCAAGACCAAAGAGGGGGACCUUCGGGCCUCUUGCCAUCGGAUGUGCCCAGAUGGGAUUAGCUAGUAGGUGGGGUAACGGCUCACCUAGGCGACGAUCCCUAGCUGGUCUGAGAGGAUGACCAGCCACACUGGAACUGAGACACGGUCCAG